UCAGGUCUUUCCCUGGGGAUCAGGGAGACACUGCCAGGCCUGCUCCAGGGCACAGAGGCCUGAACCCCCGGCAACUUCAUAAGUUCCUAUAAGCUGGAAGGAAGGCUGGACAUCAUCGGGUCCAAACCUCUCUUUUUAUAGAAAAGGAAGCUGAGGCCCCACCAUGUGCCUUGUCCAACAUCAAAUGGCUGGCAAUGGAAAAUGCCCGUGUCCUGUGACACCAAACAUACCGCCUCUCACUAUGCUGGGCCCCUGAGGCCACUAAAGCAUGGAGGGAUUUGCCCAAAGUUAUACAGUUGGCCACAGCCCCCAUGUCCUAACUUCCUAGUCUAGUGUCUUUUCUGGCUCUAGCCUGGGGGAUGGGCCUGUUAUUGUCUCCAUCUGAGGGCCUGGUCUUCCUGGCUUCCCAUCCCAUUUCCCAAGGCCUGAGGGCCAACCAUGAACCAUGAGGUCAGGAAGCCUGAACGACUGAACAAGAACAACAAAAAUGGGCCAGGCACGGUGCUAGUUAUUAUCUCAUUUGAUCUGGACAAUGACCUUGCAAGGUCCUGUGGGAAGUCAUUGUCUUGGGGUCGUGCCCACACUUCGGAGCACAGAAGCAGAGUUCUAUGAUGGGAACAGGAUUGCAG